CGGAAUUUAAUUUAAUUAGAAUAGUAGCUUUGGGGGUUAGUAGUAGGGGUUUAAGUCCUCUAGUUCCGA
rnacentral:tRNA from 1 species